UAUAUUAAAAAAACAUGUACCAUAUAAUAAAUAUAUAGAAGUACAAUGCAUUUACCUGAGUGAAAAAACACAAUGAGAUAUUAUACAAUGCAAUUAUGACAUCUGUAUGAAUUAACAGCUCAUAAUCUGGAGAACAAGAAAAGAUUUUAAUUAAGGACUUUAACGUGUCCAGAGCCAGGAAAUGUGCAGGAAACAUCGCUGCAGACUCAUCACACCCUGAAUACAACCUGUUCCAACUCCUCCCCUCUGAAAAACAGCUUGCCCUUUUUGUGUUGAACCUGUGCAGGGGUUUUCCAUGUUGCUCCAGUGUUUUGGGUAAGCGUGUCUACAUUUAAAGUAUUGUAGCGUUGUAUAGUGUUUGCCAUUAUCCCUACCAGUUAUGACAACAUCAUUUUUAAUCAUCACCUUUACAUUUUGGGUCUACGACAGCAUAUUAGGGCCAUUGUAGGAAAAAAAAAUACUUUUUUUCUUAGUUUUACACAAAUCUUGGAAUUUGGCCAAGUCUUGUAAAUGUAGCUGCUGGCGGAAAAAAACAGACCCUGUCUCUACGCAAGGUGAAUAUAUGCAAAACAAUAAAAUAUCCAUUUUAUAGAUUGCAGAUUAGUUGUAUAAAACAAUGAAGCAGAUUAAAGCACCAUUUUUCAGACUUUUUUCUGAUAAAUGACUUUAAUGUCAGAAAUGUUUUUUUCUCUAAAUAUUACCCCCCCGUAUUUUUUUUUUCUACAAUGAUCCUAAUACGCCGUCUUAGGGGUCUCAGUGACUCCAGUCGUCACAGCUCUACUAUAGAGUUCAAUAAGUAAUGCAGAGGGAGUGGUCAGACACCCAGGCAGGUUUGAGACAAAUGUCUCAUCAAAUUUAACAAUCCAAAUUACAUGAAGGAAAUCAAUGCCAAUGCAUCACAUAUGUUUAUUGAGUGACAGUUUUUGUCACAACUUAAAAUCUGCAUUAACUGAUUGACUUGACUUGAUUUAAUAAUACUGCAAUGAGGAUAGUUUCAAUGAGUUGUGGAACACAGUGACGAAACCAUGAAUGAUAGCAGGCUCCUGCUAUUGCCCAACCAUAAAAGAACCAAACACUCAUCAUGCAGAGUCUGUGAAAAUAUUGUCACAUCUGCACUGGGAAAGAAAUUUGCCACCAUGUUGAUAGCAAAAAGGUCCAUGAUCGUGUAGUAAACAGAUGCUACGCAAAGUCAAAAUGCAACAGAAUGACUGACACACAAGCACUAAACUAAUCAAACAAUGAAUUCUGAAAAGGAAGAAUUGGUUUUGUUAGUGGCUGAGGCAUAUGGCUCUAAUUUUAAAGACGACAUACACUAAAAAAAAAGAAACAUUUUUGAAAGAAUCCUAACAAAUGGUAAAUUGUACACCUCUGUCAUGAUCUUGUGUUCUCAUUUCCUGUUUUAUUUUGAAUUACUUCAUUGUGUUGUUUCACUUCCUGUCCUCUGUCUAGUUUCUGGUGUCUUGUUUUUUCCUGUGUCUCCUGCCCCU